rnacentral:tRNA from 1 species
GCGCCGUUAGCUCAACCGGAUAGAGCGGCCGACUUCUAAUCGGCAGGUUGGGGGUUCGAGUCCCUCACGGCGCG